CUUAAUGACGUUUAGCACAAUCAUUUCUGGGACGAUAUAUCAUCCACAAAAAAUCUUAUUGUGACAGGUCUAUAGAGAGCUGUAGAGCGAGGCAGUGUGAGAUACAAUGAGGUAUAGUAAGGUAGAGAGAUGUAGACUAAAGUUGAGAGAUGUAGAGAGAUGGUAGAAUGAGAUAAAUAUAUAGUGGAAUGAGUUAGAGUGAGGUAGAAAGAGGUAGAGUCAGGAAGAGUGAGGUAGAGAGAUGGUAGAAUGAGGUAGAGAGAUGUAGAGUCAGGAAUAGUGAGGUAGAGAGAUGGUAGAAUGAGGUAGAGUGAGGUAGAGAGAGGUAGAGAGAUGUCGAGUCAGGAAUAGUGAGGUAGAGAGAUGGUAGAAUGAGGUAGAGUGAGGUAGAGUGAGGUAAAAAGAUGGUAGAAUGAGGUAGAGAGAUGGUAGAAUGAGGUAGAGUGAGGCAGAGAGAUGGUAGAAAGAGUUAGAGUGAGGUAGAGAGAUGGUAGAAUGAGGUAGAGUGAGGUAGAGAGAUGGUAGAAUGAGGUAUAGAGAUGGUAGAAUGAGGUAGAGUGAGGCAGAGAGAUGGUAGAAAGAGUUAGAGUGAGGUAGAGAGAUUGUAAAAAAGAGUUAGAGUGAGGUAGAGAGAUGGUAGAAAAAGUUAGAGUGAGGUAGAAUGAAGUAGAGUGAGGUAGAGAGAGGUAGAGAGAUGGUAGAAUGAGGUAGAGAGAUGUCGAGUCAGGAAUAGUGAGGUAGAGAGAUGGUAGAAUGAGGUAGAGUGAGGUAGAGAGAUGUAGAGUGAGGUAGAGAGAUGUAGAGUGAGGUAAAAGAUGGUAGAAUGAGGUAGAGUGAGGUAGAGAGAUUGUAGGAAGAGUUAGAGUGAGGUAGAGAGAUGUAGAGUGAGGUAGAGUGAGGUAAAAAGAUGGUAGAAUGAGGUAGAGUAAGGUAGAGUGAUGUAGACUAAUGUAGAGUGAGGUAAAAUGAGGUAGAGGCAUGUAGAGUGAGGUAGAGAGAUGGUAGAAUGAGGUAGAGUGAGGUAGAGAGAUGGUAGAAAGAGUUAGAGUGAGGUAGAGAGAUGUAGAGUGAGGUAAAAAGAUGGUAGAAUGAGGUAGAGUGAUGUAGAGAGAUGUAGAGUGAGGUAAAAUGAGGUACAGGCAUGAAGAGUGAGGUAGAGAGAUGUAGAUUAAAGUAAAGUGAGGUGGAAAGAUGGUAGAAUGACCCUCAUCCUACCUCACUCUACCUUGCUUUACCUUGUUCUACUCUGCUCUACCUCACUCUGCCUCCAGUCUAGUGAAGUCACAUGACAACAGUCUGCAGUGUUAAGAGCUCCCCCUGUUGCUGCUCAGAGGUAAUGCAGUUUGAGGUUUCUGGUAUACUUAUAAUCGGAUUAUUGUGAAAACGUUUAUUGCAGUAGUGCAAAUU